CCGGCGCACGGGUGAGUAACACGUAUGCAACCUGCCUGCCACAGCCGGAUAAUCGGGAGAAAUUCCGUCUAAUACGGCAUAAUGCAUCGACGGGACAUCCUGUUGGUGCCAAAGGUUAAUUCCGGUGGCGGAUGGGCAUGCGUCGCAUUAGUUAGUUGGCGGUGUAACGGACCACCAAGACGACGAUGCGUAGGGGUUCUGGGAGGAAGGUCCCCCACACUGGUACUGAGACACGGACCAGACUCCUACGGGAGGCAGCAG
rnacentral:rRNA from 1 species